rnacentral:rRNA from 1 species
UACGUAGGGCGCGAGCGUUGUCCGGAAUUAUUGGGCGUAAAGAGCUCGUAGGCGGCCUGUUGCGUCCGCUGUGAAAUCCCAGGGCUCAACCCUGGGCGUGCAGUGGAUACGGGCAGGCUGGAGGCAGGCAGGGGAGAACGGAAUUCCCGGUGUAGCGGUGAAAUGCGCAGAUAUCGGGAGGAACACCUGUGGCGAAAGCGGCUCACUGGACCAUAACUGACGCUGAUGCACGAAAGCUGGGGGAGCAAACAGG